AUUGAACGCUGGCGGCAUGCCUUACACAUGCAAGUCGAACGGCAGCACGGAGCUUGCUCUGGUGGCGAGUGGCGAACGGGUGAGUAAUAUAUCGGAACGUACCCUAGAGUGGGGGAUAACGUAGCGAAAGUUACGCUAAUACCGCAUACGAUCUAAGGAUGAAAGUGGGGGAUCGCAAGACCUCAUGCUCGUGGAGCGGCCGAUAUCUGAUUAGCUAGUUGGUAGGGUAAAAGCCUACCAAGGCAUCGAUCAGUAGCUGGUCUGAGAGGACGACCAGCCACACUGGAACUGAGACACGGUCCAGACUCCUACGGGAGGCAGCAGUGGGGAAUUUUGGACAAUGGGCGAAAGCCUGAUCCAGCAAUGCCGCGUGAGUGAAGAAGGCCUUCGGGUUGUAAAGCUCUUUUGUCAGGGAAGAAACGGUGAGAGCUAAUAUCUCUUGCUAAUGACGGUACCUGAAGAAUAAGCACCGGCUAACUACGUGCCAGCAGCCGCGGUAAUACGUAGGGUGCAAGCGUCAAUCGGAAUUACUGGGCGUAAAGCGUGCGCAGGCGGUUUUGUAAGUCUGAUGUGAAAUCCCCGGGCUCAACCUGGGAAUUGCAUUGGAGACUGCAAGGCUAGAAUCUGGCAGAGGGGGGUAGAACUCCACGUGUAGCAGUGAAAUGCGUAGAUAUGUGGAGGAACACCGAUGGCGAAGGCAGCCCCCUGGGUCAAGAUUGACGCUCAUGCACGAAAGCGUGGGGAGCAAACAGGAUUAGAUACCCUGGUAGUCCACGCCCUAAACGAUGUCUACUAGUUGUCGGGUCUUAAUUGACUUGGUAACGCAGCUAACGCGUGAAGUAGACCGCCUGGGGAGUACGGUCGCAAGAUUAAAACUCAAAGGAAUUGACGGGGACCCGCACAAGCGGUGGAUGAUGUGGAUUAAUUCGAUGCAACGCGAAAAACCUUACCUACCCUUGACAUGGCUGGAAUCCCCGAGAGAUUGGGGAGUGCUCGAAAGAGAACCAGUACACAGGUGCUGCAUGGCUGUCGUCAGCUCGUGUCGUGAGAUGUUGGGUUAAGUCCCGCAACGAGCGCAACCCUUGUCAUUAGUUGCUACGAAAGGGCACUCUAAUGAGACUGCCGGUGACAAACCGGAGGAAGGUGGGGAUGACGUCAAGUCCUCAUGGCCCUUAUGGGUGGGGCUUCACACGUCAUACAAUGGUACAUACAGAGCGCCGCCAACCCGCGAGGGGGAGCUAAUCGCAGAAAGUGUAUCGUAGUCCGGAUUGUAGUCUGCAACUCGACUGCAUGAAGUUGGAAUCGCUAGUAAUCGCGGAUCAGCAUGUCGCGGUGAAUACGUUCCCGGGCCU
rnacentral:rRNA from 1 species